GGCCAGAUAGCUCAGUCGGUAGAGCAGUGGACUGAAAAUCCUCGUGUCGGUGGUUCGAUUCCACCUCUGGCCACCA
rnacentral:tRNA from 2 species